CAUAUUUUAAUCAUAGAGUUACCUCUCUAUCAUUUCUUCAUAUUCUCUAACUUGAAGAAUGUCAAGGAACGAAUCCACCGCCGUCGUCUCUGUUGUCACGCCGGAGAAGACCAUUGUUUCCAAAUGCGGCGAUUCACGUGAUGUGCUUUGCCGUGACGGCGUAGCCAGUCCUCUUUCCGUGGAUCACAAGUGAUGAACAGCCGGAUCGACCCGAUGAAUUGAUUCGGAUCCAGCAAGCAGGUGGGCGGGUUAUUAUUGGGAUGUAGCUAAGGUUCUUGGAGUUCUUGCCAUGUCUAGAGCAAUUGGCCAUAUUUACUUGAAACCAUAUGACGACGACGACGGAUCCGAAAGUAAUAGUGACAGAUGGAACCGACGACGACGAGUGUUUGAUCUUGGCGAGUGAUGGACUAUGGGACGUUGUACCAAAUGAGACGGCGUUAUGGAAUGGCUCGCGUGUGCCCUCGAGGUACUGGUAGAGCGGAUGGUGAUGAUUCCGUUGCAGCAGCGACACACAAUGCUUGCUCUGAUGCUUCGUUGCUAUUAACGAAGUUGGCUCUAGCAAGACCGACCUUCGAUAACGUGAGUGGUGUGGUCCUGUGGUUGACAGGAGGAAGAGGAGGAAUAAUCAACCAUCGUCAUAAUAUUUAGUGUUUAAUUAGUAGUAGUAUUAGAGAAAUUUUCACAUAGCCUAAUUGUAAUUUUUAUAUCAAGUUAUCCUUUUC